UUUUGUUGCUUCGAUGGCAGGCCACAGCGGCCGCAAUUGGAGUGACCCACGGAUCUCUCGACUUACUGAUCAAUGCCAGACAACAUCCUUUCGAUCCCAAAUGUUAUACAACCAGGUCUGUCCUUCACAAUUUUUCCAUCUGUUCUUCACAUUGGAGCACUGCUUUCCAGUUUGCAUUCGGUGGGUUAUGGGAUUAUUAUGGCUUAUAGCAUAUGAAGUCAUCAAGGUAGAGAUUACUGCCAUCCUUUCUGCUCCCAGUUGUGUCAGCAUUCCUCUAGUCCCUGGGGUGUGCUUACUCCAAUGUCUGAAAGUAUCUUGUAUUGUACUCCGACGACUGAAUUGAUAUCUUUUUUGUUAGCACCUGCGUCUAUUUCUGAAGAUUGGAGCAACCUUGGAAACAGGGAAGGGUUGCUCGUUGGUUGCAGAUAUGAGCGCUAGGGUUGGCUCGAUAGACAUUGGUUUGGAAGGCUGGCAUUCGUACAGAGCUUCUAAAACUGCACCGAAUCAAUUGACAAAGACUGCAUCAGUCGAGUUGGGCAAGAGGGACAACAUCGCCUGCAUUUUGCUACAUCCAGGAACAGUUGACACCGACCUCUCACGGCCAUUCCAAUGAAAUGUUGCCAAGGAUAAGAUCUUAAGGGAGCUCUUUACACAGAAGCUACCGUCCAUCACUGACAAUGCCAGAAGACCGACAACGGGAAGUUCUUCGCUUGGGAUGGUCAAGAAAUCCCAUGGUGACCACUGUUUUUGGUCAGUGACUGUCGCCCCUUCUAUUUUUUUUGUGUCUUCUUUUUACCACUCUUAUUUCUUAUUUGGAACCGCUUGUGCCUUUUUAGCUUUGAAUUAAAAAGCUUUACUCACUCCAGUUAGAUAUCUGAUUUGAAAACCAUGACUCUGUGGGCAACUGGGCAUAUCUUCACUAUGGCCUCAGGUGAGGUACGACAAUAUUUGCACACGUCCGCGGAAUAUUCGACCUCGGCGUGGCGUAGCACAUGGCAAGGGCGAAGAUCUGGUCGGCACCCACACCAAGGGUGCCAUUGUAGAAGCUUCCAUUUUCGGCGGUUGCCGUGGUGAUGGUCUGCAGGAGGCGGUAAAGGUUCUUGUGGUACUGGCUUCCGUUGCUGUAGUUGUCAGCAGUGGAGCACGAGAUCAGGGAUUGGUGGACAUUGUCCACAAGUGCGCCGAUGACGAAUAGGAGUAGCAGAAGGUGAAGCAUGGAGUUUGAACCAUGGCCGGCCAGUGGUGACUUUUAAGGCCGGCCAGCCGUGACUUUUUUUAAGGCCGGCCAGUGGUGACUUUUUUUUAAGGCCGGCUAGUGGUGACUUGGUCGACAGGAUAACGUAACACAUCCCUUGGCAAGGCUAAUUAUAUGAUACGUUGGGAGUAACUAGGACUUUGGCACUAGCUCAGCAAAUUUUUUUUGAGGGAAAUACGAGCUCAGCAUUUGGUAGAUUCUAUUACCACAAGACAAAGACUCGUAGCUAUCUCCCACUGAGGUCCAACGGUGACCGAGUCUCCGUUGAUUUUUCUCUUGAUUGCUACCAGAAUUACUUUUUUUGUCACUAUCAAAAUUCAAAGUUGAUUGCCUGUAGUGGAUUAUUCGUAGCAUGAGCCAUAUGGACACAUGUGUCAUUCAAGGCACGGCCAAAUUUUCACAAGUCUUGCAAAACUAGUAAUUACACAUCUCUAUCAAAAUGCAUAGCAUUUCCCGAUAAGUGAAAUAAUAAUUUAUUAUAGAUCAGCGGAGAUUUCCUUUUCAUCAGUAUGUAGCAAAAACUGAAUCAUUUGUUUGCCUCAUUGCAAGAAAAAAAACCCUGUACAGGAGAAGACAUUGUACCAUAAAAAACCCUUUAAAGGAUCAGCUGAUCGAUCAGCCAGGAGCAAAGGUGAGUUCAACCUGUACCUUUUCUUAACAGGCAAGAGCUCUGCUUUUCAAUUGAUAUGUAGUACUCUCUCUGUUCAUAAAUAUAAGAUAUUUUGAAUAUUUUAAUAUGAACUACAUACAGACUAAAAUGGGUGAACAAACACGCCAAAACGUGUCUAUAUACAUUCCAUUUAGAAAAAUAUUAAAACAUCUCAUAUUUGUGAACUGAGGGAGUAGGAGAGAGCAUAGGCCUACGGCCAAACCGAAAA